rnacentral:rRNA from 1 species
UACGUAGGGUGCGAGCGUUACUCGGAAUUACUGGGCGUAAAGCGUGCGCAGGCGGCUUUGCAAGACAGAUGUGAAAUCCCCGGGCUCAACCUGGGAACUGCAUUUGUGACUGCAAGGCUGGAGUGCGGCAGAGGGGGAUGGAAUUCCGCGUGUAGCAGUGAAAUGCGUAGAUAUGCGGAGGAACACCGAUGGCGAAGGCAAUCCCCUGGGCCUGCACUGACGCUCAUGCACGAAAGCGUGGGGAGCAAACAGG